rnacentral:rRNA from 1 species
AUGGCGUUCGACGCCUUCACCGACAAGACCGCCGUCUUCCGCCGCCUCAAGGCCAAGCCCGAGAACAAGGUAUACCUCCUCUUCUUCCUAUCCCCCCCUUCCUCUUCUCCCCGCACCCGCCUGCCUACCUACCGGUUAGCUCAGCCAGAUCUGCCGCCGCCUCAGUACAGAUCUGAUCGAUAUGUGCUUGCUUUCUAUGAAUGGCUAUGGCAGAUGUGCUUCGACUGCAACGCCAAGAACCCCACCUGGGCCUCCGUCACCUACGGCAUCUUCCUCUGCCUCGACUGCUCCGCCUUCCACCGCAGCCUCGGCGUGCACAUCACAUUCGUCAGGUCAACGAACCUGGACUCAUGGACUCCGGAUCAGCUAAAGAUGAUGGCUUUUGGAGGCAACAAUCGUGCACAUGCUUUCUUUAAACAGCAUGGUUGGAGUGAGGGGAGUGGCAAAGUCGAUUCAAAGUACACAUCCAGGGCUGCUGAAUUGUACAGGCAGAUACUGCAAAAGGAAGUGGCUAAGAGCUCCGCCGUCAACGUCUUGCCAUCAUCCCCUGUUGCAGCGUCUCGGCCACCGAAUCCGACCGACGACUUCCCUGAUUUCAAGCUUGCUGAUGCACCAGAAGAGAAUACCAACGGGAAGCAUGAACCUGCUGUCGCCAAUCCACCAAAAGAGCCUGCCCAGGCACCAAAAGCCCCUACACACCCCACUUAUGUCAGUUCUGUAAAGAAGCCCCUUGGUGCAAAGAAGCUUGGCGCCAAGACUGGAGGCCUUGGUGUAAAAAAGCUCACUACAAAGUCAAAUGAAAGCCUGUAUGAUCAGAAACCUGAAGAGCCAAAACCCGCUUUACCAACAAUGACAACUACUACUUCAGCUGCAAAAAGUGGCCCAUCCUCGCAUUCACGUUUUCAGUAUGUGGAAAAUGAGACAUCAACUGAGUCAAAAACUGGAGGAGGCAACAAGACUGGCCAUGUAUCAGCACCAAAAACCUCAGACUUCUUUCACGAGUAUGGAAUGGAUAAUGGCUUCCAAAGGAAAACCAGCACAGCUGCCUCAAAGACUCAGAUAGAGGAAACUGAUGAAGCAAGGAAGAAAUUUUCAAAUGCGAAAGCAAUUUCAUCAUCACAAUAUUUUGGGAAUACAGACAGAGAACAGAAGGAGGCUCAGUUAUCUCUACAGAAGUUCUCGGGUUCAUCAUCCAUUUCAAGCGCUGAUCUGUUUGGCCGUGAUACAAAUGAUUCUGAUCUGGACGCAAGUGCUGCAGAUCUCAUCAACAGAAUAUCUUUCCAGGCUUCCCAGGAUUUAUCAUCUCUCAAGAACAUGGCCGGAGAAACCGGAAAAAAGCUGACAUCUUUUGCCUCGAAUUUCAUCACCGACCUCGACAGAAUUCUGUGA